rnacentral:lncRNA from 1 species
AUGGGACCCUGCAGCCCUGUAGGUAGCCCCAUGGGUCUGGCUCUGAAAGGAGGAUGGCAAGGCACUGCUGCUGCUGCCUUUAGGGCCUCCAUCCCUGUCCCAUCCCUGGAUGCUGCAGGAACCAGGCUGAUCCAGCUGCAAGGGUGUGGAAAAACCCUUCACACUCUCCUCUGCUGCCCUCAUGUGCAUGCAGGAUCUCCUGCAGCUGCACAUAGCCCUGCACAGAGGGUUCUCCAGCCCAAAGGGCCAAAUCCAGCCAAAACAGGGCCUUGCUGGUGCUCAGGGUCCAGGUCAGGCAGUAGCAUUAGGUCCUGCUGGGACAGCCUCCCGGCUGGGUCUGGAGGGCAAAGCCAUGCGGGCAGCUGGACGGGGGACUGGGCUUCCCACGCUGUGUCCGGGUCACUGCAAGGACAGGGUGGUCUGGGUUCACAGCCCGGGCGAGCGCAGACACGUCACCGAAAUGGCUGUCCGUGGUGGUGGUGGGGGGGGGGGACGGGACGGGACGGGACAGGGCAGCUUUGCCCAAAGCAUCUCCCCAGUCCUUCAGGCUGCAAAGUUUCUUGGUAUUUCAGUGUCAAGGGGGAGCAGGGGCCAGGGGAGGCUCCCAGCCCCCGGCAGCUUCCCCUGCCAUCCCACGGCUCGCGUCCCCCUCCCAGGCACCUGGAAGGGCCCCCACCGCCCCGUGACAUCCCUACACUGAGCCUCGGCUCAGGCAGGGCGAUGGGAGCCCGUCUGCUCCCAGCUGCCUCAGUUUCCCCAGCCCUCGGAGGGGUGGACCCCACCACGGCCACGUCUGAGCAGCCUGGCCCACGGGACGGGGGUGCUGAGCAGGAGGCAGCCAGGGUGCUUCACGCCGGGGAGGGGAAAGCUGCGGUGCAAGCCCGGGCUCAGCCCCUGGGCCGCAUCCUUCCGCCUGGGGCAGGGGGAGGCAGAGCCCUGGCCUYGGGGCUGCUGGUUUUCACAGCCUCCGGCCAAGCUUUCCAGGUUUCCGAGACCUGCUGCAGUCCAGCCUGGGGGCCUGGCCCAGCGCCUCGGUCCCGGGUCUCUCGUGGUUCACCACUUGGUCGGGAAAGAUGGGAAAAAAUUCCCUGUCCCACCCAGUCCCAAAAGAGGGGGGGAGAGCUGCGGCCUCUGCGCCUCUCGCCCUCUGCUGUCCCUGCCGACCCGUGUGGCAUGAGGAGGAUUUGGGGAGCCGGGGGGAGGCACAUGGUCCUGCACCCACUCAUUUUGGGGACAGUUCACAACCUAGAUCACCCUGCCGGAGCCGGGCCCGUGUGUCUGUACGGCGCCUGGCACAUCCCGGCUCAGGGCUCGCCGUAA